UGUCGCUAUGUUUUUUGUAUUUUAAAUAAUUAUUUUAUUGAUUAUUUUUUUGGGUUCUUUUUUCGGAUCGGGCCUUUUAUUGAUGGCUUUUGUGUUUUUUUCUGUUGGGCCGACGGGGUGUGUGUGAGGGCCCAGCCCGUGUGAGUGAGGGGUGCUUAGCCCCUAAGCCGAAAACGGCGUCGUUUGGAAAUCUCCUAGGGCUUCAUCGCUUACCCUUCUCCCUGCGCCGCACCUCACUUCCCUUUCCCUCUUCUAUUUUUCUUCUCCUCUUCGUUUUUCUUCCUUCUCCUUCUUCCUUCAUGCCCGAGCUCCUUCAUCGUCACCCACCUCCUCCAUUGAACCACCUCCACGCAUCUUCUCCUUCUCUUUCGUUCUAUGUUGUUUCGGUGGUAUUUUUUGUAGGUGUUAUCGAUUGUUUCCUUUGGGUUUGGGAUGUUCUUUUAGAUUGAAAGUUGCAAUUUUUUUACUCAUUUUGGGUGGGUUUCAACGGGUUGUUGGGAGGGUUUGGUUGGUUGGUUCUCAUGUUUAUUUCUUUGAAUUUUAUUUCUUUUGCUGUAAACCGAACCUUAUUUUCCCUCUCUUGUAUUUAUUUUAUUUCAUCUCAUUUUCUCUCUAUUUUGCAGGUAAAUCAGCGGGUCUUGCUCUGUUUUUUGACCCCAUUUUCAUCCUCAUUUGUCUGGUCUUUUAUUUCUCUAUUUUUUGUUCUGUUUUUGUUCUUGUUAUUGAUAUUUGAUAGUUUAUUAUUGUUCAAUAUAUCUUUUUGUUUUUAGUUUAUAGAUUGGAUCUGUGAUUGGUAAAGCCCUAAUUGUUUUCCUGUUCGACCACUUCCUCUAACUUAGAAACCCUAGCUAUUGUAUCAAAAGUCCUUAUUAUUAUUAUUGUUAGGUUUUUUUUUUUUUUUUUUUUUUUUUUACAAUUAUUAUUAUUAGUGUUGUUGUUGAUGUUGUUAUUUUGAGUUCUCGGUAGAACAAAUUUGUUAAAAUAUUUUCACAGUGCAUUAGGUUCAUUGCUCGCAGAGUAUGGAUCUAUUUUCCAAUUUAAUGUAAUGGUACAACAUGAAUAAAUUACCUGCCUUUUUAAUUGGGUAGUUUCUUAAACAACUCUCUUCAUGUUGAUGGAUAUUGAACAUAUUGCAGUCUAUGGUGUGCCCUUUUCUACCCCUUUAAUUUUUGCUGCUAAGUUAGGGUUAUGACAGAUUUAAUAUGAUACUAAAUUAGUUUAGCUUGCUUUAUCGAUGUUCAGUGGCACAAUUAGCAAAAUACAAUUUGGAGAGUAAGUUUUGUAGUACUUGGUACUAUUUUGUUGUCUUUGUUGAGUAGUCGUAUAAACUAUAAAUCACAAUGCCAUCGUUAUCACAAUGCUUUAACGGUAUUUCAAUUGAUGUUUAGUUCCCUGGCAUGCAUGAUUGGGCUCCUUAGUAAGUGAGAUCUUAAGGUAUAAUACAAGCGCAAAGUUUUUUUUUUUUGUUGGUUUUGAAAAAUGCUUGGUCUACAGAGAUCUGACAAAAUUAAGUUUACAAUUGGCGCAGUUUGAUAUGGUGCCCGAGAUUGUAAAGCUCAUUUUAUUGUUAAUUUUCCCAUUUAGUAAAAAUUUCCUGGAACCAAUAAAUGGUUAUUGUGUACGAUCUCUGGUCAGUUUCUUAUGAUUCGACAUGUACUUGGCCUUGUUUUACCUGCUCCAUUUCCAACCAUCUUUUGCAAUUUUUGUUUUUAAUAUUUAGAAGAUUGCAUUGAUCUUUCCAAUGUUUUAUUUUCUUUCUUAUAAUCUUAUUUUCAAUUAGCUUCCUUAAGUGUCCUUUUCUCUUUAAAGUUAGUUUUUAUUUGUCACGUAUUUCUUGCAGAUGGAGAAGGCUGUUAAAAUAUUAGAUGAGAUGACACUGGAAGGCAUCAGUCCAAAUGAACAUACAUACACGACCAUCAUGCAUGGUUAUGCAUCUGUGGGAGAUACUGGAAAAGCAUUCGAGUAUUUUUCUAGAUUGAGGAAUGAAGGUUUGGAACUUGACGUGUAUACAUAUGAGGCACUGCUGAAGGCAUGUUGCAAGUCAGGCAGAAUGCAGAGUGCCUUAGCAGUAACAAAAGAAAUGAGUGCUCAAAAGAUUCCAAAAAACACCUUUGUGUACAACAUAUUAAUUGAUGGGUAUGAAUUAAUAUCUCUUGCAUUGUACUAUUUUGUUGUCUUUGUUGAGUAGAGACUUGUUAUGUUUUUAUGUUUUUUUUUUUUAAUUUUGGGUUUGAAGUUCAUGAUGGUUUGCAGUUUUUAUAUGGAUAGAUGUAUAAUUUAGCUUGGUUAAUUUUGAUGUGAUCAAUAGACCAUAAGCUAUUUAUUUUAGAUUUAGAUGUGAUCAAUAUAUAUACACAUUUAGAAGCAUGCAAAUUAAGAAACAUAUAUUAUAACAAAUACUUCUCAUGACUUGUCAUCCUAAAAAAAUUAUGGGUUUUAUUAUUUUGGUUUGCACAUUGUUGUUGCCAGUUAUAAAUGUGAUACUUUUUCAACUGGCUUAUUGCUGUUUUUGCAUGUGUGAUUUUUAGAUGAGUUAGAAAAUAUAAUCUUUUUUAUGAUGCAGUGUUGUAAAGCUUAUAUUUGUCUGUGUUAUUAUCUAUAAUCUAUAUAAUUGUUCUUUAUUUUCUGUUUUUUUAUUUUAUUUCUUGAGCUGAUUUGCUUGUUUCUUUUCUUGUUUUGCAUUGGAUUUUACCACAAUGCAUGUAAGGUAGACGUGGCCCAGAACAGAUCUGGGAGACAAAAUUUAGUGGAAGAUGGCAAUACACAUGUAGCGUGGAAGAUGGCAAUACCCUGCAAAACCACUGCUGCAACCAAAUCUCUCUGCAUGCAGAUUGUAUUUUAUGAAUUUUUAGUAACCCGUAUGCAUGUCUGGUUUUUGUUCUUGUUUCAGCAGAGAGCACGUGUAAGACAUGCAUGUCUUAAACGUUACUGUAUACAGAUUUAAAUAUUAAAUGUUACUGUACGCA